GAAAUGCGAUAAGUAGUGUGAAUUGCAGAAUUCAGUGAAUCAUCGAAUCUUUGAACGCACAUUGCGCCCCUUGGUAUUCCAUGGGGCAUGCCUGCUCGAGCGUCAUUUGUACCCUCAAGCUCUGCUUGGUGUUGGGUGUUUGUCCCCGUCUCCGCGCGUGGACUCGCCCCAAAGUGAUUGGCAGCCGGCGUACUGGUCCCGGAGCGCAGCACAUGUCGCGCAAACGAGUGCCUUGGUACGGCGGCGUCCAUAAGCCCCUCUCUCACGCUCUUGACCUCGGAUCAGGUAGGGAUACCCGCUGAACUUAAGC
rnacentral:misc_RNA from 1 species